UACGGGGGGAGCAAGCGUUGUUCGGAUUUACUGGGCGUAAAGGGCGCGUAGGCGGCCACCGCAAGUCGACUGUGAAAUCUCCGGGCUUAACCCGGAACGGUCAGCCGAUACUGCGGGGCUAGAGUGCAGAAGGGGCAACUGGAAUUCUCGGUGUAGCGGUGAAAUGCGUAGAUAUCGAGAGGAACACCUGCGGCGAAGGCGGGUUGCUGGGCUGACACUGACGCUGAUGCGCGAAAGCUAGGGGAGCGAACGGGAUUAGAAACCCCCGUAGUCC
rnacentral:rRNA from 1 species